rnacentral:rRNA from 1 species
AGGGUGUAAACGCUGCGGGCUUGGUGUUGGGGGUCCUUUGAGGGCGCCCAGUGCCGGAGAGAAGUUGUUAAGCCUGCUGCUUGGGGAGUACGUCCGCAAGGAUGAAACUUAAAGGAAUUGGCGGGGGGAGGCACCACAAGAGGUGGAGGCUGCGGUUCAAUUGGACUCAACGCCGGAAACUCAUCGGGAGCGACAGCAGUAUGAUUGCCAGGUUGAUGACCUUGCUUGACAAGCUGAGAGGUGGUGCAUGGCGUAGUCGUGU